rnacentral:tRNA from 1 species
AAAUAAGAAAUGAUUUAUCAUAGUUAAUUUCGACUUAAUUUUAGAUUAUAAUAUAAUCCUUAUUUU